GCCGAAGUGGCGGAAUGGUAGACGCAGCGGACUCAAAAUCCGCCGAUUUUUAAUCGUAGGGGUUCAAGUCCCCUCUUCGGUA
rnacentral:tRNA from 1 species